rnacentral:lncRNA from 1 species
GUUCUUGUGACAUGUAUAAAAUCCUCACAGGAUUAUGAAGGAUGGAGGAUUGAGCUAUUUAAAAUAUAACUUACAGGAAGAGUAACCCCAGAAAGUUAGAGGACUUUGAGUUGGAGGCAUCUUCUUAUCAGUCAAACAUCAUAUAAGGACAGCUUGUCCUUUGGCCAGCAGCUGCUUCUACUACUUCAGGGAUGAGUAGUAUCUCUCUUGCUUGAGUCUAGAGUUAAACAGACACCAUACAACUGUGGAGACUAAUACAACAAACACGCAUGAGCCCACCUGGAAUUUAAAACUGGAGCCAUUUUCACGUGAUGCUCUUGACUUAUGCAUAGGAUGCCUUGGUCUCUGUCCAUUACUUCCUACAGAUUGAUCAAAACUGAGGACCUCGUCAGGGCAAUGAUGAGCUAAAAAGCAUGGCAGUGUCUCCUCUGGUGUC